rnacentral:rRNA from 1 species
AGAGUUUGAUCCUGGCUCAGAACGAACGCUGGCGGCGCGUUUUUAAGCAUGCAAGUCGAGCGGCAAGGAGGGUGCUUGCACCUUCCCUAGAGCGGCGAACGGGUGAGUAACACGUAGGUGAUCUGCCCUUAAGUUUGGGAUAACUCAUGGAAACAUGGGCUAAUACCGAAUAAGCUCACGUCUCUUGUGAUGUGAGAAAAGGAGCCAUUGUGCUCCGCUUAGGGAUGAGCCUGCGGCUGAUUAGCUAGUUGGUGGGGUAAAGGCCUACCAAGGCUACGAUCAGUAGCCGGCCUGAGAGGGUGGCCGGCCACAUUGGGACUGAGAUACGGCCCAGACUCCUACGGGAGGCAGCAGCUAAGAAUCUUCCGCAAUGGGCGAAAGCCUGACGGAGCGACGCCGCGUGGACGAAGAAGGCCUUUUGGUUGUAAAGUCCUUUUCUCAAGGAAGAAUAAGGCAGUCUGAAGAGGCUGUUGAUGACGUUACUUGAGGAAUAAGCUCCGGCCAAUUACGUGCCAGCAGCCGCGGUAACACGUAAGGAGCGAGCGUUGUUCGGAAUUAUUGGGCGUAAAGGGCAUGUAGGCGGUUAUUUAAGUCUGGUGUGAAAGACUGAGGCUCAACCUCAGAAACGCACUGGAAACUGGAUGACUUGAAUUCGAGAGGGGAAGUUGGAAUUCCUGGUGUAGGGGUGAAAUCUGCUGAUAUCAGGAAGAACAUCUGAGGCGAAGGCGAACUUCUGGCUCUGAAUUGACGCUGAUAUGCGAAAGCGUAGGGAGCGAACAGGAUUAGAUACCCUGGUAGUCUACGCUGUAAACGAUGUACACUUGGUGUCGGGCAGGUUACUGUUCGGUGCCGAAGCUAACGCGUUAAGUGUACCGCCUGGGGAGUAUGCCGGCAACGGUGAAACUCAAAGGAAUUGACGGGGGCCCGCACAAGCGGUGGAGCAUGUGGUUUAAUUCGAUGAUACGCGAGAAACCUUACCAGGGCUUGACAUAUAAUGGACAGCCAUAGAGAUAUGGUCUUUCUCUUCGGAGAACCGUUAUACAGGUGCUGCAUGGUUGUCGUCAGCUCGUGCCGUGAGGUGUUGGGUUAAGUCCCGCAACGAGCGCAACCCCUACUGUCUGUUACCAGCGCGUUAUGGCGGGGACUCGGGCAGGACUGCCGGUGACAAACCGGAGGAAGGUGGGGAUGACGUCAAAUCAGCAUGGCCCUUAUGUCCUGGGCUACACACGUGCUACAAUGGUCGAUACAGAGCGCCGCGAUACCGAGAGGUGGAGCAAAACGCAGAAAGUCGACCUCAGUCCGGAUUGGAGUCUGAAACUCGACUCCAUGAAGUUGGAAUCGCUAGUAAUCGCGCAUCAGCAUGGCGCGGUGAAUACGUUCCCGGGCCUUGUACACACCGCCCGUCACACCACCCGAGUUGGGGGUACCCAAAGCCGCCAGUCUAACCAGCAAUGGAGGACAGCGUCUAAGGUACGCUUAGUAAGGGGGGUGAAGUCGUAACAAGGUA